CUCGUAUCUAUAAUUAUCUACCUCUCUUCAGACUAAAAACAGAUUCAGUAAAUUGUUUACUCUAGUAGGCAUGUGUGGGACUUGACGUGGUAAAGUGUGGUUGUAUUAUAAAUGUCCCAUUUCUCAGGGUAGGCUUUUAUAAUGAUAUGCCAACGAUUAGCAAGCAGAGAGCUGGGAAGGCGUUACCACAUUUUGGGUAGCGUGACUUCCUCUUAGAGAGGUUGGGUGAGACCCGCGAAGAGAGAGGGCAGCGUGGAGGCCCCGCUGGGCGCGAUUCAGCUUCGAGCCGUCAGUGGAGCCGCCCUUCCGAGACGGACAGGGAACGGGUUCUCCCCGGAGCCUGCUGGGGUCUUAUGCCCGGGAGAACAGCUUAGUUCCAGCCUAAUCACAUUGAUUUUGGACUCUUGUCUGAAGAAAUAGGAAGAGGAUACAUUUCUAUUAGUUUGAGAAAACAAGAGUUGAGGUGACUCGUUGGGUCAGUCACAGGAAUCCAACUCCCGCUCUAUCCGGCUCACCCCGCAGGUUCAGAAGACACCUGUGCCACAGGCCGAGUGGACAGGGAAGGCGGAAGACCAGCGCUCAGACAACUGCGACAGAAACCGGCUGCGGCCGCACUGCAGCAGGGCAGAGGGUGCCGUUAAUGAUGGCCAAAAGGGGAGAACGCCAGCUGCAGUUGGAACAGCUGUUCAUCACUUUGCACAGAAAACGUGGGAAAAGUUUAUUUUCAACAAUACACGAGAGAAGAAAUGAUUUACUUGGAUUAAACAGCUAUAGAAAGACAAGAUUGGACCCAAAAGGCAUGAAGUCCAGUCCUGUUAGGUCAUUAAUAGUUCCAUGGAGUUCUGAAAAUGGAGAUUCUACAUUUUACUUUAUUUUAUGCAGGAAGAAAUUAAACAUAGAAAAGCAAAUAAAGGUAAAUAAUUUGCUUCAAGUAAGAAACCAGGAUUUGGACCAAAGUAGUCUAGUUUUGGAGGCUUCACUCUUACACACUACACUCUACAACCUCUCUGCUGGACUUAUGCACCAGAAAAUGAAGAAAACACUUACACUGCACGAGCACACUGUGGAAUUUCUCACAGGUUCUCUUGCUGAUGGAAUUUUCGGCCAUGCAGAAAACAAAGAAUCGUACUGUGAGAAUUCCCAAGUCAAACAGCCUGGCUUUGUAUUCCAGUUGUGUGCAACUCACCCAUUCUGUAAAUUUUUUUCAGUGUAAUUUGUAUUAAAGUUCAAUUUUUCCAUUUGUAACUGAGGGCAGUGACAAAAUCUACUAAGCA
rnacentral:lncRNA from 1 species